rnacentral:tRNA from 1 species
GGGCGCUCAGUUCAGUGGUCUAGAACACCUCCCUCCCUUGGGGGAGACCUGGGUUCGAAUCCUGGAGUGCCCG